ACGGGAGGCAGCAGUGAGGAAUAUUGCACAGUGGGGGAAACCCUGAUGCAGCAACGCCGCGUGAGUGAUGAAGGCCUUCGGGUUGUAAAACUCUGAUCUGGGGGAAGAAACAAAUGACGGUACCCCAGGAGAAAGCCCCGGCUAACUACGUGCCAGCAGCCGCGGUAAUACGUAGGGGGCAAGCGUUAUCCGGAAUUAUUGGGCGUAAAGAGUGCGUAGGUGGUUACCUAAGCGCAAGGUUUAAUCUUGAGGCUUAACCUCAGUCUGCCUUGCGUACUGGGCUACUUGAGUGCAGGAGGGGAAAGCGGAAUUCCUAGUGGAGCGGUGAAAUGCGUAGAUAUUAGGAAGAACACCGGUGGCGAAGGCGGCUUUCUGGACUGUAACUGACGUGGAGGCUCGAAAGCGUGGGGAGCAAACAGGAUUAGAUACCCUGGUA
rnacentral:rRNA from 1 species